rnacentral:lncRNA from 1 species
GCUCCACUAGGUGCUGCUGCCGCGGCCGCCAGGGAGGGAGGUGUCGGAGGGCGGGCCCCGCGCGGUGCUAGGGUUCCGUCUGGACUGGCGGUGGUGGGUCCCAACCGGCGGUACCGGGUUCCUUCCCGACCAGCGGUGCUAGGUUCGGUUCGGACGCGCGCUGCUGGAUCUAAAUGGGCAGUGCUGGGUCCGAUGGGUGGUGCUGUGUUGGGUCCGGACGCGCGGUGCAGAGUCCGGACGGGCGGUGCUGGAUCCAAAUGGGCGGUGCUGGAUCUGGACGGGCGGUGAUGGGUCCGAUGGGCGGUGCUAUGUUCGGUUCGGACGGGCGGUGCUAGGUCUAAAUGGGCGCUGCUGGGUCCGAUGGGCGGUGCUGCGUUCGGUCCGGACGGGCGGGGACGGGCGGUGCUGGGUCCAAAUGGGUGGUGAUGGAUCUGUGGACGGGCGGUGCUGGUUCCAGACGGGCGGUGCUGGGUCCAGACGGGCGGUGGGUCCGAUGGGCGGUGCUAGGUUCGGUUCGGAUGGGUGGUGCUAGGUCUAAAUGGGCGGCGCCGGAUCCGAUGGGCGGUGCUGGGUUCGGUCCGGACUGGCGGGUCCGGGUCUGGACGGGCGGUGCUGGAUCCAAAUGGGGGUGCAGUGCUGGAUCUGGACGGGCGGUGCUGGGUCCGAACGGGCGAUGGGUCCCAUGGGCGGUGCUAGGUUCGGUUCGGACUGGCGGUGCUGGGUCUAAAUGGGCGGCGCUGGGUCCGAUGGGUGGUACUGGGUCCGGACGGGCGGUUCUGGGUCUGGACGGGCGGUGCAGUAUCCAAAUGGGCGCUGCUGGGUCCGGACGGGCGGUGCUAGGUUCGGUCCGGACGGGUGGUGCUGGGUCUAAAUGGGCGGUGCUAGGCUCAGCAGGGGACCGGUGGGCGUGGCGGCACAGGUACGGAGCGCAGGGCCGGUGGAGCGCCCUCUCCGAAGGGCCCUGCGCUCCCCGCGCUCGCUGCUCCUCCUGCCCGCGCAUUGCCCCGGGGCUGCUGCGUGUUUCUUCCAGGGUGAUUCCUUUCCGCUGGGUCACUUCAAAGCCGACCUUUUCAAGCUGUUUUCUUCCGCGGAGGACACGUUGUUAGGCUUUGUGUGCAUUUCAAGGGUCAUGUUUUCUGAACCGCGCUCUGCCGCUCUUGGGGUGUUCGAGCCCCCACACUGCUGUGCGGUGUUCCUCUCACAGAGUGAGGUUGGAGGGUCCCACUCCCUUUGUGUGUCUCCUUAGAAAACGCCUCUUCUCUCAGACACAUCGUUAUCUGCCAAUUCUUCGCAGACGUAGAGAACGGACUGCAGAGUUAAUAAACGUCGAGGGGAAGCUUUGAUGCGCCCCAUUUGGCCCUGAGAGAUGCCACGUGAUCGUCAUUUUAAAUCCUGUUCCUGGGCUUCCCGAUGGACUCGAGUUUUUACUAUGUGAGCAUCCCGGUGCCUGCACAGCAAGGACUCUCAUUGGGUUCCACACGUGCUGCGCAGAUCCCUGACGCAGCGUUCACUGAACCUCAACUGCAGGAGCUUCAUUCCUGAGGACGCUGUUACCAAGAAUGACUUGCCUCUUGAAGAAUGAGUUUGCAAAGCCGGCAGUUAGAUUGCUGAUGUCCAAAGUAAGUAUGUGUAGCAUCACUAAAGAGAAAAUUCAGGAUUCCUGGAAAACAGUUAUGGGCUCUCUGCAGUGUUAUUUUUGUAAUAAAAAACAUAUAGCAUAUGUGAAAUACCUACUGGGUGAUGCAGGACACAUAGAAGGCUCGAAAUUAAUGUGAAUCAUUCUCGUUUUUCUGACUGUCAUUAAAAGUCCCCAUUUGUAUUAUGUAUGAGUGGUAUAUCAAUAUCUAAACUACACUUUAUUGUAGGUCCCAACCAACAUUAGUUUAUUGACAAAUGUUUAAGAGCAGCCAAAAAUUCAUAGAAUACCUAUGAUUCUUAAAUCAUGAACACUCCCAUAACUGGUAUAUGUUUAGGACAUGAAAAUUUCCAGGCUGACAAAUAAUUUCGCUGUCAUCGGUCAAGACUCCAGGAUGAUAUUCUGAGCCAUAUGUUAAUUUUGAUAACCACCUAGAACAAUAAAAGGUAAACAUGCUACCAUCUUCUAUUCUCAUUGCACCACUGGAUUCUGGUACAUCUAAAAAUUGUACUUAAAUGAUAUCCAAGAAAUGCUGUAAAAAACAAAAUAGGGCCGGGCGCAGUGGCUCACACCUGUAAUCCCAGCAUUUUGGGAGGCCAAGGCGGGCAGAUCACGAGGUCAGGAGAUCAAGACCAUCCUGGCUAACACGGUGAAACCCCGUCUCUACUAAAAAUACA